AAAAGGUGUGUACUCUGUACUAGUAUCGAUCGAAAGUUGGAGUUGGAGUUGGAGUUGCAUCAGAUAACGUGGAGUGCAAGGAUAUACACUUAUAAGGUAGGAACUAACUUAGUUCGAUUGGUUAUUUAUUAUGGUGUGUACAGUAUAUAUGAUGUAUGGAUAGGUAUAUGUACAGCUAUAUUUUUUUUGUCUAUGUUGUUAUCGCAAGUAGAGGGAAAAGCCGAAAAAAAUGAAAAGGGGGGGAAAGUAAAUAACGUGAAGAAGAAGAAGAAGAAGAAGAAGAAGAAGAAGAAGAAGAAGAAGAAAAAGACGAGAGAAUAGAAGAUAGAAUUUGCCAAAGGUUUAAAAAUUGGCAAGAUGUAAAAGCUCGAAAACCAAAGGACCCCUGCAGGACUCGGAACCAUGGCCAGGACCAGUAAUAGAUACUAUUCUAUCAACAGACAUCAAUAGAAGAAAAAAAAAAAAGAAAAGGAAAGAAAAAAAAAUCGUUGCAAGAUUUAGGAACAGAACGGAGUGGAGAGAAAACGGGAAAAGAUUUCCAUCAGGGACCGAUGGAAUGAAUGCUCCCACGCCGUCGCGACAUCAUUCGUCAUCAUCACCGUCAUAAAAUGCAAAAAUGAUAGGAAAGAAAGCCUAAGAACAGAAUGAUAGUAGAAUGGAGUAUGAAACAGUCCCACAAUGUGGAAAAUGGAAAAAAAAAAAAAGAAAAAAGAAAAAAACUUCACUUCUGGUUUUAUCAUGCAUGCAUGGACGCCAACAACGGAGAUGAUGGGGA
rnacentral:sRNA from 1 species